rnacentral:rRNA from 1 species
GACGAACGCUGGCGGCGUGCCUAAUACAUGCAAGUAGAACGCUGAAGAGAGGAGCUUGCUCUUCUUGGAUGAGUUGCGAACGGGUGAGUAACGCGUAGGUAACCUGCCUUGUAGCGGGGGAUAACUAUUGGAAACGAUAGCUAAUACCGCAUAACAAUGGAUGACCCAUGUCAUUUAUUUGAAAGGGGCAAAUGCUCCACUACAAGAUGGACCUGCGUUGUAUUAGCUAGUAGGUGAGGUAACGGCUCACCUAGGCGACGAUACAUAGCCGACCUGAGAGGGUGAUCGGCCACACUGGGACUGAGACACGGCCCAGACUCCUACGGGAGGCAGCAGUAGGGAAUCUUCGGCAAUGGGGGCAACCCUGACCGAGCAACGCCGCAUGAGUGAAGAAGGGUUUCGGAUCGUAAAGCUCUGUUGUAAGUCAAGAACGAGUGUGAGAGUGGAAAGUUCACACUGUGACGGUAGCUUACCAGAAAGGGACGGCUAACUACGUG